UUCAUGUAAAUACUAUCAUGCACUCUCUGGCCUUUUGCGUCUGGCUUCUUUCACUUAGCAUGUUUUCAAGGUUCAUCUACUUUGGAGCAGCUAUUAGCACUUCAUUCCUUUUUGUGGCUGAAUAAUAUUCCAUUGUUUGUAUAUACUACACUCCAUUCAUCCAUUCAUCUGUUGAUAGACGUUUGGGUUGUUUCUGCCUUUUGGCUGCCGUGAAUAGUAUUGCCAUGCAUAUUCCUGUACAGGUAUUUGAGUACCUCUUUUCAGUUCUUUUGGAUAUAUACCCAGGUGUGGGGUUGCUCAGUCAUCUGGUAAUUCUGUGUGUAACUAUUUGAGGAGUCUUUUUUGAUUCUUGACACUGCAUUUCAAGGAGAUAUUAUCCAACUUUUAUAGGAAAGAAGAUGAGAGCUCUGAUUGAUAGGACUCAUUUCUUCAAAGUCACCCAGUGCUGUGGUCUGAAUGUUUUGUGUCCCCUCCAAAAUUCGUACAUUCAUAUCUUGAAAUCCUAAUGCCCAAUGUGAUGGUGUUAGGAGGUGGGGCCAUUGGGAGGUGAGCCCUUAUGUAUAGGAUUAGUGCCCUUUUAAAAGCAGGUCCAGCAAGAUCCCUAGCCCUGUAGCCAAGUGAGGACAAAAUAAGAAGUCUGUGACCUGGAAGAGGGCUCUCACCCAACCCUGCUGGCACCUUGAUCUCAGACUUACACGUUCCAGAACUGUGAGAAAUCAACUUCUUUUUUUAUCAGCCAUCCAGUCUUUGGUAUUUCGUUAUAGCAUCCCAAGUGGCCCAAGACCCCCAGCCAGAGAGCAGUACAGCUGGAAGUCACAGCACCUCACAUGCCCACUCUUCCAUCUCAUCCUCCCCAAAAUACCUGAGAUAGAUGGUUGCCGUUUUCAGAUGAAGAAACAGUCCCAUAAGUUAAGUGACUUGCUGAGGAUACAAUUAAUUUCAGGAGAUGUUUUCAUUCCAUUUAGAAACCAGACCUUAUCAUUGAUUAUUUAGAUGUGUUUCUUUUCCUUUCCUUAGGCCUUACAAUCUGGUGACAUGCCAAGAGAAUGCAAUGGGAUCAGAUCCCUAUGUUGAAACCCUAAGCCCCAAUGUGGCUGAAGAUGGAGCCUCUAAAGAACUUAUGAGGGAAAUACGAUUGUCAAUACCUCCGCUUUUCAGAAGAGGAAACUGAGCUAUGAAGAUAACUUGCCCAGGGUCACAUAUCUGGCGGUCACAAAGCACCGAGCUGAUCUCCCUCUGCUAUGCGGCUCAUGUUAUUUUAAUUUUUUUAAUGGAAUCCAUGUAGAUUUAGGAGUAAGAAAGACCUAGUUUGCUAUCCAAGCUCCACCACUGGUUUGCUUACUAGUAAAAUGAGUAUAUCUAUGUCAACUUUGCUGGGUUGUUUUGGGAGUUAAAAGAGACUGGCGUUUCUU